GUCCACGCCGUAAACGAUGGAUGCUAGCCGUUGGUGGGUUUACCCUUCAGUGGCGCAGCUAACGCAUUAAGCAUCCCGCCUGGGGAGUACGGUCGCAAGAUUAAAACUCAAAGGAAUUGACGGGGGCCCGCACAAGCGGUGGAGCAUGUGGUUCAAUUCGAAGCAACGCGCAGAACCUUACCAGCCCUUGACAUGCCACGACGGUUUCCAGAGAUGGACUCCUCCCAGCAAGGGGCGUGGACACAGGUGCUGCAUGGCUGUCGU
rnacentral:rRNA from 1 species